rnacentral:other from 1 species
GUGUUGCUGGAACAUACGCUACUCGCCAUUAUUUUUUCUACAAAUCAUUAAUAAGGGAAUCUAAUAUUUUUUCUGACUGUGGUCGGAAAGUGCGGAUACCCACCUUGCUUAACAGGGAUAAUGAUUCUGGCGGUGGUCGGUGUUUUGGCAUAAGU